AUACGGGCUAGGGGGUGUGCUGACGUGCGCUGUAUCACAAAUCGUCAAUAUGGUGACCUGAAGUCUGAGGGCGGCGGAGACGAUUUGCGCAUGUGUCAUUGGUUAACUACGAUGCCUCGCCCCCGAGAGAUCGAGGUUGAUGGAGGCCAAUACCGGAGGGGAUUGGUGACUGUGUUACCCGGGAAUCAGGUCAGGCGCGGAAGCGAGCAGCCCGACUGGGAACUCUGGAUGCCUCGGGACCGCGGGGCGGAGAAGAUCAGUGGAACCACUUUCGCGAAUACGACCGUCCACCGAUGACACGCCCAUAA
rnacentral:SRP_RNA from 1 species